rnacentral:lncRNA from 13 species
ACGAAACCCAAGAAAUUAUCUACAGCAGAGUGUGCACAAUUCCCUGCAGAAAGCCCGAGGGUCACCUCUUAAGCAGGCCAUUCUGCUCUGUCACAUUUCCUUGCUUUUGCUUUGUAAUCAUCUUUUUUUUUGAGAUGGAGUCUUGCUAUGUCUCAGUGGUGUGAUCUCAGCUCAUUGCAACCUCUGCCUCCUCUGUUCAAGUGAUUCUCCUGCCUCAGCCCUCCGGGUUGCUGGGACUACAGGUGUGUGCACUACUGCACCUGGCUAAUUUUUUGCGUUUUUAGUAGACAGGGUUUUGCCACUCCAAGCUGGUCUCAAACUCCUGACCUUCAGUGAUGUAACCCCUUUGGCCUUCUAAAGUGUUGGAAUUACAGGCAUGAGCCGCUACUCCUGACCUGUUAUGUAAUCUUGUAAACACAUAAAAGCCCUUCUUUCUUGCAGGCUGUGCAGAAGCUGGCUACAGGCUGGGUGUGGCCCACUGCUCAUCGUUUACCACCACUGAGCCUUAACUUAGGUGGCAAAUGCUUGAGAUGAAACAUUGGUGAGAUGGUGAGCUGGGGAUCCUGUGAUGUGGCCAUGGCCAGCUUUGAGGAGAAGAUACAGUUCAAGCAUGAGCCAUGGGGCCAGUGUGGAAAGAGAGCUCCAGGAACUACUCAGUGGUGGUGACGCCGCUGCUGCCUGGGGGCGAUGUGGUGUGGGGGACUGGCUACCUGAUGGAGGAGAAGCUGCUGUGGCCACUCCGACAACUGUCCAGGGCCAACAUGCCGUCCAAGUUCACCAGCUCAGAUGCCGCCUGCUGUAGGGUCUCUGGAGGAAUGAGUCCUGCCCCGGGCUGUGCCACCCUCCUCCCUGGGAGCCCCCCGCCCCGUGGGCACAACAGCAGGGCCAUGCAGGGGCAGGUACUGUGGGGGCACAGGGAAGCCUGCAGAGGCCUGUGGCUUUACAGUGCCUGGCCCAGAGCUUAUUGGUCUUCCCAAGGUCCUAUGGGACUAGGGUUGAGGUUGCACAUCCUGCUUUUCUCCAAAUUAUAAGGCCUGGCCCAGCAGUGCAGCCAAGGGCGGUGGUGGGAUGACCAGCUCUGGUCUCCUGAGGAGCUUGCCUGUGGCUCAGGUGAGUCUGCUAACAUCCGUGGACUCAGCUUCCUCCACUGUGAAAUGCAGGUAACCACGUGGCCCACUCACGUGGGUAAGGGGCAUGUACGGUUCUUAAUGCACGAGGGAGCCCCUGAUGUCCUUGGGGGAGCCACCAUACCCAGGCUUGGCAAGUAGCGGUUUAUCUGUGUGCGACUCACAUGGAGGCCUACAGCUCCCUAGAAGCGUGGGUGUAGUCAGGUCUAAGCAGCACGCUGAUCUUGUAAAACAAAACAAAACAAAACAAAAAAAAACAGCCUUGAAGUCCUGUGUGUGUGACCAUGGGCUUCUCUGUGCCCCUCAGUUCUGACAGCUGACCACGGAGCUGGUAGCGCCUCCUUUGGGAUGCUGGCCCUGGCCAACAGGUGUCUGGCUGUGCACGAUGGAUGGUGCUU